rnacentral:tRNA from 1 species
GCCUGGCUGGCUCAGUUGGCGGAGCAUGUGACUCUUAAUCUUGGGGCUGUGAGUUCGAGUUCCACGUUGGGUA